GCUUGUCUCAAAGAUUAAGCCAUGCAUGUCUAAGUGUAAAUAAGUCUAUACUGUGAAACUGCGAAUGGCUCAUUAAAUCAGUUAUCGUUUAUUUGAUGAUCUCUUACUACUUGGAUAACCGUAGUAAUUCUAGAGCUAAUACAUGCUACACUAAUCCCUUGCUGGCUCGUCCAGUGGGGGUGCAUUUAUUAGAUUCAAACCAUGGUUCGCAGCCUGUACGCACAGCGCAAGUUGUGAAUAUGGUGAGUCAUGAUAACUAAGCGAAUCGGGGGAAAACCGUACCUGCUUCACUGUGGGGGCGGCCCGAUGCUUCAUUCAAAUUUCUGCCCUAUCAGCUUUCGAUGGUAGGAUCUUGGCCUACCAUGGCGAUCACGGGUAACGGGGAAUAAGGGUUCGGUUCCGGAGAGGGAGCUUGAGAAACGGCUACCACAUCCAAGGAAGGCAGCAGG
rnacentral:rRNA from 1 species